UACGGAGGGGGCAAGCGUUGUCCGGAUUUAUUGGGCGUAAAGAGCUCGUAGGCGGCUCGGUAAGUCGGACGUGAAACCUCCAGGCUCAACCUGGAGACGCCAUCUGAUACUGCCGUGGCUUGAGUCCGGUAGAGGAGCAGGGAAUUCCUGGUGUAGCGGUGAAAUGCGCAGAUAUCAGGAGGAACACCAGCGGCGAAGGCGCUGCUCUGGGCCGGUACUGACGCUGAGGAGCGAAAGCGUGGGGAGCGAACAGG
rnacentral:rRNA from 1 species